rnacentral:lncRNA from 1 species
AUGCUGCACACCUGUGGUGGGGCCCUCGUGCAGGGAAUGCAGGGUUCUCGGGGUUCCCGGGGUUCUCCGGGUUCUCCGCGUUUGCUUACACAGUGUUCCCGUUUCUUAUGCGGGGUUCUCGGGGUUCUCUGGGUUCUCGGGGUUCUCCGUGUUCUUGGGGUUCUCAGGGUUCUCCGGGUUCUCGGGGUUCUCCGGGUUCUCGGGGUUCUCCGUGUUCUUGGGGUUCUCAGGGUUCUCCGGGUUCUCGGGGUUCUCCGGGUUCUCGGGGUUCUCCGUGUUCUUGGGGUUCUCAGGGUUCUCCGGGUUCUCGGGGUUCUCCGGUUCUCCGUGUUUUUUACACAAUGUUCCCGUUUCUUAUGCGGGGUUCUCAGGGUUCUCCGGAUUCUCCAUGUUCUUCGGGUUCUCAGGGUUCUCUGGGUUCUCGGGGUUCUCCAGUUCUCUGUGUUUUUUACACAAUGUUCCCGUUUCUUAUGCAGGGUUCUCGGGGUUCUCCGGGUUCUCGGGGUUCUCCAGUUCUCCGUGUUUUUUACACAGUGUUUCCAUUUCUUAUGCGGGGUUCUCGGGGUUCUCCGGGUUCUCGGGGUUCUCCGGUUCUCCGUGUUUUUUACACAAUGUUCCCGUUUCUUAUGCAGGGUUCUCGGGGUUCUCCGGGUUCUCGGGGUUCUCAGGGUUCUCGGGGUUCUCCGGUUCUCCGUGUUUUUUACACAAUAUUCCCGUUUCUUAUGCGGGGUUCUCAGGGUUCUCCGGAUUCUCCAUGUUCUUCGGGUUCUCAGGGUUCUCUGGGUUCUCGGGGUUCUCCAGUUCUCUGUGUUUUUUACACAAUGUUCCCGUUUCUUAUGCAGGGUUCUCGGGGUUCUCCGGGUUCUCAGGGUUCUUGGGGUUCUCCAGUUCUCCGUGUUUUUUACACAGUGUUCCCGUUUCUUUUCCCGAAUCAGCAAACACUCCUUGCAGAUAAAACAGCUCAGAUGGGGGAGCAGGAGCCCAGAGGCUGGGGCAGCACCUUGA